rnacentral:rRNA from 1 species
GACGAACGCUGGCGGCGUGCUUAACACAUGCAAGUCGAGCGGUAAGGCCCUUUCGGGGGUACACGAGCGGCGAACGGGUGAGUAACACGUGGGUGACCUGCCCUCAGCUCUGGGAUAAGCCUGGGAAACCGGGUCUAAUACCGGAUAUGACUCCAUGACGCAUGUUGUGGGGUGAAAGCCUUGUGCGGCUGAGGAUGGGCCCGCGGCCUAUCAGCUUGUUGGUGGGGUGAUGGCCUACCAAGGCGACGACGGGUAGCCGGCCUGAGAGGGCGACCGGCCACACUGGGACUGAGACACGGCCCAGACUCCUACGGGAGGCAGCAGUGGGGAAUCUUGCGCAAUGGGCGAAAGCCUAGACGCAGCGACGCCGCGUGAGGGAUGACGGCCU